GCUGCAGGUCCGGAGCCGGACGGUAGAGGCCUCCCUUCUGAGGAGGCGGCGCGGCCGCGCGGGGCCGGGGUGAGCGCUCCCAGCCGCGCGUCCUUCCGGACCGGGUCCCUGCGCGGCCCGACCCGGUGCGAGUAUUCCCCACCCGCGGUCCUCCUCCGCAGGCGGCGCCGCCCGUUCUUUGGAGGGCACGGACGCUUCCUCGCAGGCGAUUUUGACAGCAAUCAUCCUACCAAGCUAUUAUGAAGUGUGAUGUCAGUGCGUUCUGCAGGACGGAUAAUGUAUAAGCCAGAUCUUGACACGCUAUCUUACAAGGAAGCAGCUGAGACCAUCAGCUUCUAAUGUGAGGAAAAACACGGAAUGACAAGUGUGGGAAAGAGCAAGCACUAAAUUACUGUCAGAAAAAUAAACGGAGUAGCACAGUGGUGCUCGGUGAUUUACGGGGGCAAUUAGUCACCACCCCACGGCGCUGCUGAGGACAGCACGGCAGCAGACGCGUCAGGCCUGAGAGGAAGAAGAGGCUUUGCACUGCUCUCCAGACAACUUUUCAGACAAGAGAGGAUAUUUGAGCACAUUAGGUUCCAUGUCUUCAUUCUGGGUGCCCACCCUUCACAUUAUUCAGCCAGCCGAAUACAUAAACGUAUUUUUAACACAACAUUAACCUGUUCUGUGUGUGUGUGUGUGUGUUAAAAAGACUCCCAACUGUAGCUUUUUUCUCUCCCACUGCCCAAAGUAGGUUUUUCUCAUUCCUUAAAUGAAACAAACCUUUCCCCACUCCCAAAUUGUCCCCCUGAUGUGUGCCUUUGAUGUGUCUCAUCACUUCUUGCAUCUUGCUAUCAUGUUCUGUAUUUACUUGGAGCCAUUGGGUGCUAAGGAAUUUGGUCUCUAGCUCUUCUGGGGAAGUUUGGUGAGCUGGUACAAAAGAGGUGAUGAAUGAGGCUGUAAACCCAGAGUAAAUAAGAAAGGUACAUAAACUUCCUGAUAUUUGUUGGCCUGUUUUUUUUUUUAACAUACUCUAUGCAGUGCCUGUGUAUAUGUACAUAGCAAAAUAAACCUGCUAAGAUA